rnacentral:tRNA from 1 species
GGGAAGGUAGCUCAGUGGUAGAGUGCUUGCCUCGCAUGCAUGAGGCCCUAGGUUCAAUUCCUCAGCACCA